UUUAUUAAGAGUUUGAUCCUGGCUCAGGACGAACGCUGGCGGCGUGCCUAACACAUGCAAGUCGAGCGAGAAACUUAAGAAUGAUCCUUCGGGUGAAUGAUUAAGUGGAAA
rnacentral:rRNA from 1 species